ACUCAAAUGAAUUGACGGGGGCCCGCACAAGCGGUGGAGCAUGUGGUUUAAUUCGACGCAACGCGAAGAACCUUACCGGGGCUUGACAUCUUCCUGCCCGCCUGAGAAAUCAGGUCUUCUCCCUUACCGGAGACAGGAAGACAGGUGGUGCAUGGUUGUCGUCAGCUCGUGUCGUGAGAUGUUGGGUUAAGUCCCACAACGAGCGCAACCCUUGUACUUAGUUGCUAACUGGGUUACCAGUGCACUCUAAGUAGACUGCCGCAGAUAAUGCGGAGGAAGGUGGGGAUGACGUCAAAUCAUCAUGCCCCUUACGUCCCGGGCUACACACGUGCUACAAUGGUCUGUACAGAGGGUAGCAAAAGAGCAAUCUGGAGCCAAUCCCAAAAAGCAGGCCCCAGUUCGGAUUGGAGGCUGCAACUCGCCUCCAUGAAGUCGGAAUCGCUAGUAAUCGCGGAUCAGCGCGCCGCGGUGAAUACGUUCCCGGGCCUUGUACACACCGCCCGU
rnacentral:rRNA from 1 species